rnacentral:rRNA from 1 species
UACGUAGGGAGCAAGCGUUGUCCGGAAUCAUUGGGCGUAAGGCGCGCGUAGGUGGCCCCAUAAGUCCGCUGUGAAAGUCAAAGGCUCAACCUUUGAAAGCCGGUGGAUACUGUGGGACUAGAGUACGGAAGAGGCGAGUGGAAUUCCUGGUGUAGCGGUGGAAUGCGCAGAUAUCAGGAGGAACACCAAUAGCGAAGGCAGCUCGCUGGGACGUUACUGACACUGAGGCGCGAAAGCGUGGGGAGCGAACAGG